CCUACGGGUGGCAGCAGUGAAGAAUAUUGGUCAAUGGACGAGAGUCUGAACCAGCCAAGUAGCGUGAAGGAUGACUGCCCUAUGGGUUGUAAACUUCUUUUAUAUGGGAAUAAAAUGUUCCACGUGUGGGAUUUUGUAUGUACCAUAUGAAUAAGGAUCGGCUAACUCCGUGCCAGCAGCCGCGGUAAUACGGAGGAUCCGAGCGUUAUCCGGAUUUAUUGGGUUUAAAGGGAGCGUAGGUGGAUUGUUAAGUCAGUUGUGAAAGUUUGCGGCUCAACCGUAAAAUUGCAGUUGAAACUGGCAGUCUUGAGUACAGUAGAGGUGGGCGGAAUUCGUGGUGUAGCGGUGAAAUGCUUAGAUAUCACGAAGAACUCCGAUUGCGAAGGCAGUUCACUGGACUGCAACUGACACUGAGGCUCGAAAGUGUGGGUAUCAAACAGGAUUAGAUACCCGAGUAGUC
rnacentral:rRNA from 1 species